rnacentral:lncRNA from 1 species
GUCCAGUUCUACAGAGAAAUCCAAAUCUGAGGGAAAAAAAUGUUUGUUGGUCUACAGAUUGCGUCAGAUCAAGUAUAACCAUUGAAAUUAUAAACCUGUCUAAGAAUUAACAUCUUACAAUAGAUGAAUAGAAAUAUAAGAACUCUUGCAAGACAAAUCUUUUUGAUAGCUGCUUUAUUACUUCUAUGGGAUUUGACGUCUCUAUACACAAAUCCUUUUACAAAGACAUCCAUCUUUUUUUCUUCUUUUGGAGAAAUUAUUUGUUUCUCUAAAGCAUUGGAAACAAGAAAAAAAUUGGUCACCAACAAAUUUUCAACACAUAAGAAUAUUAAAAAAGGAUUAAAAAUAACCCUCCUUCAGCAAAAAAAAAAAAAAAAAAAUCUCUUUCCUAUCUUUCAAUUUGUUUAGCUAGAUAAAAAAGAACCAGUAGGUAGUAAAAGAUUGGAACCAUUUACCUUUACAGGAUUUCAAUUUAGAAGUUCCUUUCAUAUUUUUAAAAGGAUUCUUUUCAUCCUUCUUUGGCUUCCCCGAUUGAUGGCAAUCUCUGAUCCCCCGAUUGCAACUUACCUGAAUUGGUGAUUUUAGUUCAUUAAAAAGCAAUCUGAAUUUCUUUACUAUCGUCUCCAAUUCCUCUAACCCUAAGGGAAACAACUGGUUUUUUUAAAUGGAUUUGGUGGUUGGGACUGGUUUUGGGCUUGUUUUCAUGAGGUCCUAGAAGAUCAUGAGGCCCUAGGCAGUUGCCUUGUUUGCCUUGUGCCAGGGCCGGCCCUGUGGGGUUCUUAGCCUCUAGAUUUCUUGGUUGGGAAAGUUUUCAAAUUUGGGCAGUCAGAAACCUCAAUAGAGGUUCUGUUUGUACUUCUUGGUGGCCCUUGGUUGCAGAUCUUUUUAGAUUCCUUUUGGUGAUUUUGGCUUGGCUUAUGGUGCUGUC